GACUUUGGGCUCACGUAGACAUAGGAGAAUGAAACUUCAGUACAUUUUAAUCUGAAUAAUUUUUCAGGAUUUAAAAUUAAUUGGCUCGGGCUUGGUUGGACCAGACUGGGAUCUCGCCACCUCUGCGGUCCCCGAGUCACUGGCUAAGAGUUCCCAUUCCCUCUGGGAAUGGUCCUGUGUGCACUGUCUUCACGCCUGUCGUGGGCAGUUGAAUUGCUAGUCUUCAUGGUAUCACUGGACAUCUGGCAGAAAAAGAGGAAACUGCUCGUUCCGCUUUGUGACUUCACUUAGCUGGAAAACUACAAGGUGAAAAAAAUGCAUGCUAUACAUCACCAGGAAUAAAAGGUGGCGCCUGGCCCUGUAAUUGACUCUCUAACAAAGAGAAAAGCUUUGCAAUCUCCUGAUGCAGCUGCUGUCUGCAGACCCCCUGCUCCGCCCGGGAAGUGAGUCGGAACUCCUGCAGCAGAAGGGCGGAACAGCUACAAGAAGAUCCGUAGGUGGCCAAAAAUAACAGUGUUUUCCAGAUGAGGGUAAUAUUAUAGCCAAGAUCAUCACCGGGGUAGGAUAUCUUGUUCUUAGUUUUACAACCUUAAAAGUACACAGAUGACUCGAAGAUGAUUCAGGAAGGAGGAAUUAAGUUAGUCAAGAAAAGGAAAAUGGUAACAGUACCAAAACAGAAAUCAAA